rnacentral:rRNA from 1 species
UACGAAGGGUGCAAGCGUUACUCGGAAUUACUGGGCGUAAAGCGUGCGUAGGUGGUGAGUUAAGUCUGUCGUGAAAGCCCCGGGCUCAACCUGGGAAUGGCGAUGGAUACUGGCUCGCUAGAGUGCGGUAGAGGAGAGUGGAAUUCCCGGUGUAGCAGUGAAAUGCGUAGAGAUCGGGAGGAACAUCAGUUGCAAAGGCGGCUCUCUGGACCAGCACUGACACUGAGGCACGAAAGCGUGGGGAGCAAACAGG